GUCUAGAAAUAUUAAAACACAUUUAUUUCAACUUUUAUACAAACUUUGUAUUUAUCUGAUCAUUGAAGUAAGUAAACUUUUCACUGAAUUUGUGUAGAACUUACAUCUGAAAAUAGUAGUGCCAAAUUAUAUUUGAAUCUGAUUCAAAAUCAGAAAGUCUAUGCAAAAUAUUAAUUUGUAUGGAAAGUAAUAUUUCAUUCACUAUGCUCUAAUCAAUAAAGGACUUUCUGAAUUAUAUACUUAUGAUCAAUAAGCUAACAGAAAUCAAAUUUCUUCUGCCUACUUUCAGGAGCGUUAACCCAAACACCAUACACCAAACACUAACCUAAAUCUAUAGCUAGCUGUUUUCUAAGAUAUUCCCGGCGAUCAUUAAAGGUCAAGUAUAUUUGCCACGUUGGCAAGAGAUGACGUCAGCAUCGACUGUGUUGGCCUUGCGGAAUCAAAUCGAAUGACUGAUUACAUUGUAUUAUUAGUGAGACAACGUUUAGAUGUUAUUAAAUAUAUCAUAUAAAUUUAUUGAAACACAAAUAAUGCGAAAAUUACAGUGCUGUGAAAUAAGGGAUACUACAUGAUGUAAUUGUAAUUUUAAGUAAUUUAUAUGCAUAUAUAUAUUUAUAAUUUAUAAUUGGU